GAGGCGCUAGCUCAGUCGGUAGAGCAACGGCCUUUUAAGCCGUGGGUCCUGGGUUCGAUCCCCAGGCGCCUCACCA
rnacentral:tRNA from 2 species